ACAGAUGCUUGUAGGGAGAUGUUCUGUUAACGUUUAGAAAAGUCCUUGGAAUUACAGAUGUAUUAAUUAAUACAUCUGUAUUGAUUAAUUAAUUAAUUAAUAAUUUUUAAUUAAUUAAUUAAUAUAUUCUUCAGAAAAGUAAGCCAUGUUUGCUGGUGUUCCAGGGAAGUUAGACAGUGUCUGGAAGAUCAACAGCCAUGUGUAUACUUUAUAUACAUCAACAAGAGACUGAACUUCAGGUUUUUUAAGGAAUUGUUGGAUGAGAUCUAUAUAUAGGACAAGGGAGAAUUGUUUUAAAUUAUGACACUGGAAGUUUAGGUAAGAUACAGGGAGGAGGUUUUUCACACAGAGGGUGGUGAAGCACUGGAACAGGCUGCCCAAAGAUGCUGAGGAAGCCCCUUCCCUGGAUGCAUUCAAGGCCAGGCUGGAUGUGGCUCUGGGCAGUCUGGUCUGGUGGCUGGAGACCCUGCACAUAGCAGGGAGGUAGAAACUGGGUGAUCAUUGUAGUUGUUUUCAAACCAGGAAAUUCUAUGAUUCUAUGAUCUCCUAGGAAGAAGUCCUUAGAGAUAAAGGAGUGGAACACAGGUGGCUACUCUUUAAGUACGUCUUUCUGAGAGCUUAAGAGCUCUUCAGAACAUGAAAGCAGGAAGAAAAGGCAGGAAACAGUCUUGUAGUCCCAGAGUUCAUGUUGCUGGCAUCUCUGUAUCACAGGACAGAAUGAAACCAACUCUAGCUGGAACUGCAGAACUCUACACAAUCACCUUCCCUUGGCACUCCUGAUUGCCCCACAAGCACCACUUAAAAAAUGUUUUCUACUAUCAAAUACAUGUCUUAUGUAUUACUUUUUUUAUUUUUAUUAUUUUUAUUUUUAAUGUGAUGUUUUCAAAAGUGAGUUCAUCAAACAUUUUAAAACCUGAACUUGUUGAACCAACCUUAGACUUGAUUUAGACAAAGAAGAAAACUCAUUUCUGCACUGGAAAAAUACUAUGAAUUUACUUAGAAGGGUAAAACUAUGGAUUAAAGAAACUGAUGUUGAACUAGAAUAAUGAAGGGAGAUACAGAAAAAUGAAUACUGGAAGACUGUCAGAAUAGAAGUGGUAGGGGGGUUGGCAUCUGAAGUUAACUCCUCAACAGGAUGGUUGUAAAAUAAAAACUAACUGCAG
rnacentral:lncRNA from 1 species